rnacentral:lncRNA from 1 species
AUGUCAUUGACCCACGGCGGAUCCAGAGCGCCAAGUGUUUCCUAUCCCACCUCCUGCCACAGUCGUCUGGAGCGAAGGCAGACACCCACCCUAGGCAAGGCCCUUGAGCAUUAUCUACCAUGGUUUGCCAUGGAAUCUUCCAGAAAAAAUGGAGUCCAACAAGAAAGAACAAAGAUCAGAUCAAAAGUGACUGAAGAGGGGCUUCCCUGGUGGCUCGGAGGUAAAGAAUCCACCUGCCAAUGCAGGGUACACGGGUUCCCCUGACUGGGGGAAAUUCACAAUUGCUGUCACCAGAACUACUGAACCUGUGCUCUAGAGCCUGGAGGCUACUGCUGAGCCCACCCGCCACAACCACUGAAGCAUGCACUCCCUAAAGCCUGUGCUCUGCAGCAGGAGAAGCCACCGCAAUGAGAGGCCUGCACCCCAUAACUGGAGAGUAGCCCCCAGUCUCCACAGCUAGAGGCAAGCCCCUGCAGCAAUGAAGACCAAGCACAGCCAAAAUAAAUUAAUAAAUAAAAUCAUUUUUUUAAGUGACUGAAGAGGUAUAGACUGUGUAAGCCCCGUGCAAAGCUAACCAGGGCUACCCUUUGUUGUCAGUCCAUUGCUGUUAAUGUAAAAACAAUGAUAUGUAAUAAAAAGAGUAUUAACCAUGUCUGAGGUUCUGUUUGGGUUCUAGCUGUGCUCUGACAGACAGUAAGGAAAGCUUGGGCUUCCUUACUUCUCUUGGCUUUGGACUAUCCUUUGAGUUCUCUUACUUCAUAAAGCAGGACUUAGAGAUCUAGAAUUCAGUGAUCAACUAAGGAUUCACUCUUGACUAAAUUUGCCUGUCAGUUUGAUUAGGAAAAACAAGGAGAUGAAGGCAGAUGUUUGCCAUCAGAAUCACUCCCUGAGGCUCUACAAGGAAAAUAGUCCCAGCUUACAGCACUUAAGCAGACACAAAAAAUAUGCAUGUAGGCAUUUCCUUUUCUUCACCUGGCAACUCUUGCAAUUCUUCACACCUCGGCCCUGACAUUUCCACACCCUCCACUUCACCCCUGCAUCUGCUUAGUUCCCCUGAAGUCCUUCCACGGUACCAAACGUGUACCCCUCAUGGUCAUCUUUUGUCUCACUGACUUCCAAUCUUCUGAUGAAUACACAGUCUCCACUAGAUUGUCAGUUCCUUUAUGAAGCUGAAUGGGUUUUUGUGCAAAGGAAAAUUAUUCCUAAAGCAAAAUGAAAGGUUCACUCACAGAAACCUCUCGUUUAGGUUGUGUCCAAAUUAAGAAAUCAUUCAAAGAUUUCUAAAAGACAUAAGAUCAAGUUAUACAUUAAAAUGUAACUGGAUUGAUAUCCUAGAAAUAAAGAAAAAAAACAGAACUUAGAAAUUAAAAACAAAAAAACAAACACAGAGGAAGUUUCUGAGAAGACGGUGGAAUAGGAAGCAUCAGAAAUGUAUCUCCCCUCCUAGACAAAAAUUGCACUGACCAACUCUGUCUAAGGCAACUUGUUUGGAACUCUGGAGACUAUAGAGGGCCUGAAACUUCCAGGGGAAGGCUUGGACUGUAAAUUUUAGUCAAUACUGGUCAAUUUCAGCUCUUAGUAUUAGCACCCACCUCUCAGCCCUAUGGCAGGCAGCUAUGCACAUACUCCUGAAGCAGCUUGUACCCAGUUUGCACAGCCGUGGGAGUGAGGAUGUCCUCCAAAUGUUAGAA